GGAUAAGUGACUGAGUGGUCGAAGGUGCUUGUUUUGAAAACAAGUGUAUUUAAAAGAUACCGGGGGUUCGAAUCCCUCCUUAUCCG
rnacentral:tRNA from 1 species